rnacentral:misc_RNA from 1 species
ACCGCAACUGGGUGAUGAUCCCGCACGUCACGCAGUUCGACGAGGCCGACAUCACCGAGCUCGAGGCCUUCCGCAAAUCCAACACCGCGGAAACCGAGAAGCAGGGCUUCAAGCUCACCAUGCUCGCGUUCCUGAUCAAGGCGAGCGUGACCGCGCUGCGGCAGUUUCCCGAUUUCAACGCCUCGAUCGACAAAUCGGGCGACAACCUGGUCAUGAAGAAGUACUUCCACAUCGGCGUCGCGGUCGACACGCCCGAGGGCUUGAUGGUGCCGGUGGUGCGCGACGCCGACCGCAAGGGGGUGUUCGACCUCGCGCGCGAGCUGGCCGAGAUCUCCAAGCUGGCGCGCGACAAGAAGCUCAAGGCAGGCGACAUGCAGGGCGGCACAUUCUCGAUCUCCAGCCUGGGCGGCAUCGGCGGCAGCGCGUUCACCCCGAUCAUCAACGCGCCGGAAGUGGCGAUCCUCGGCGUUUCACGUUCCUACAUGAAACCGAUCUACUUCGGAAAAAAUGAGAAAGGUGAAGAUUCAUUCAAGGCCCGCUUGAUCCUGCCGCUGUCGCUGUCCUACGACCAUCGCGUGAUCGAUGGCGCGCUGGCGGCGCGCUUUACCGCCUAUCUGGCCAACGUGCUCUCCGACAUCCGCCGGACUCUGCUCUAGAUGGCCAACGUCGUGGACGUGAAAGUCCCGGACAUCGGCGACUACAAGGACGUAGAAGUCGUCGAAGUGCUGGUCAAGCCGGGCGACACGGUGACGAAGGAGCAGUCGCUGAUCUCGCUGGAGUCGGACAAGGCGACGAUGGAGAUUCCGUCGCCCGAGGCUGGCGUGGUGAAAGAAAUGGUGGUCAAGCUCGGGGACAAGGUCUCCCAGGGCUCCGUCAUUCUGAAGCUUGAAUCCGGAGAAAUAUCAAAAGCGCUCGAAGAGAAACCGAAGCCCGCGGCGCCGCGGCCGGCGGCUCCUCAACCCGUCCAGAGCAGUUCGAAUUUCGAUUGCGACAUGCUGGUGCUCGGCUCGGGGCCGGGCGGCUACUCGGCCGCGUUCCGCGCCGCCGAUCUAGGCAUGAAGACGAUUCUCGUCGAGCGCUAUCCGGUACUGGGCGGGGUGUGCCUGAACGUCGGCUGCAUUCCGUCCAAGGCGCUGCUGCACACCGCGGCCAUCAUGGAUGCCGCCAGCGAACUCGCCGAGCACGGCAUCGCGUUCGGCGAGCCGAAGCUGGACCUGCACAAGCUGCGCGCCUUCAAGGGCAAGGUGGUGGGCAAGCUCACCGGCGGCCUUGCCUCGAUGGCGAAAAUGCGCAAGGUGACGGUCGUUCAAGGGGUGGGGAAGUUUUCAGGGAAGAAUUCCAUCGAAGUCGAAGGCAAAACCAUCACUUUCGCCAACGCCAUCAUCGCCGCGGGCUCGCAAGCGGCAAAACUCCCGUCUCUGCCCGACGAUCCCCGCAUCGUCGAUUCCACCGGUGCGCUCGAGCUGCGCGGCCUGCCGAAGAAGAUGCUGGUAAUCGGCGGCGGCAUCAUCGGCCUGGAGAUGGGCACGGUCUACUCGACGCUGGGCGCGCGCCUGGACGUGGUGGAGAUGCUGGAUGGCCUGAUGCUGGGCGCCGACCGCGAUCUGGUCUCGGUCUGGCAGAAAUACAACGCCGCGCGCUUUGACCGGGUCAUGCUCAAGACGAAGACGACAAAAGCGGAAGCGACGAAGGAUGGAAUCAAGAUUAUGUUCGACCAGGGGGAACCCGGCCUUUACGACAUGAUCCUCGUCUCGGUGGGGCGCACGCCGAACGGCAAGAACAUCGGUGCCGAGAAAGCGGGCGUCGCGGUGAACGAACGCGGCUUCAUCCCGGUGGAUUCGCAGAUGCGCACCAACGCGCCGAACAUCUUCGCCAUCGGCGACAUUGCGGGCAAUCCGAUGCUUGCGCACAAGGCUGUCCAUGAGGGGCACGUCGCGGCCGAAGCGGCGGCGGGGCUCCAAUCCCAUUUCGAUGCACGCGUCGUUCCGUCGGUCGCCUAUACCGAUCCCGAGAUCGCCUGGGUCGGCGUGACGGAGGACGAAGCGAAGAAGGCGGGGACGAAGGUCGGCGUGG